rnacentral:rRNA from 1 species
UAGUCCAAGCGGUAAACGAUGGGUACUAGGUGUCGGGGGUAUCGACCCCUCCGGUGCCGGAGUUAACGCAUUAAGUACCCCGCCUGGGGAGUACGGUCGCAAGAUUGAAACUCAAAGGAAUUGACGGGGGCCCGCACAAGCGGUGGAGUAUGUGGUUUAAUUCGAAGCAACGCGAAGAACCUUACCUAGGCUUGACAUGCAGGGGACAGGUGUAGAAAUACAUCCUUCUUCGGACUCCUGUACAGGUGCUGCAUGGCUGUCGUCAGCUCGUGUCGUGAAAUGUUGGGUUAAGUCCCGCAACGAGCGCAACCCUUGUCUUUAGUUGCCAUCAGGUAAUGCUGGGGACUCUAGAGAGACUGCCGGUGACAAACCGGAGGAAGGUGGGGAUGGACGUCAAGUCAGCAUGGCCCUUACGCCUAGGGCUACACACGUGCUACAAUGGUCGGUACAACGGGCAGCGAUACAGUGAUGUGGAGCGAAUCCCAAAAAGCCGGCUCAGUUCGGAUUGAAGU